UACGUAGGGCGCAAGCGUUGUCCGGAAUCAUUGGGCGUAAAGAGCUCGUAGGUGGUCUGUUACGUCUGCUGUGAAAUCCUAGGGCUUAACCCUGGGCCUGCAGUGGAUACGGGCAGACUAGAGGUAGGUAGGGGAGAAUGGAAUUCCCGGUGUAGCGGUGAAAUGCGCAGAUAUCGGGAGGAACACCGGUGGCGAAGGCGGCAUCCUGGACCAUUACUGACACUGAACCGCGAAAGCUAGGGGAGCAAACGGG
rnacentral:rRNA from 1 species